UGCGGAAGGAACCCUAUACCUGGAUGGUUUGUGUUCCAAAUGAUUUAUCGCCGUAGGAUGGGACUGCGGCCUAUCAGUUUGUUGGUGAGGUAAUGGCCCACCAAGACUAUUACAGGUACGGGCUCUGAGAGGAGUAGCCCGGAGAUGGGUACUGAGACACGGACCCAGGCCCUAUGGGGCGCAGCAGGCGAGAAAACUUUGCAAUGUGCGAAAGCACGACAAGGUUAAUCCGAGUGGUUUCUGCUAAAGGAACCUUUUGUCGGUCCUAGAAACACCGAUGAAUAAGGGGUGGGCAAGUUCUGGUGUCAGCCGCCGCGGUAAAACCAGCACCUCAAGUGGUCAGGAUGAUUAUUGGGCCUAAAGCAUCCGUAGCCGGCUCUGUAAGUUUUCGGUUAAAUCUGUACGCUCAACGUACAGGCUGCCGGGAAUACUGCAGAGCUAGGGAGUGGGAGAGGUAGACGGUACUCGGUAGGAAGGGGUAAAAUCCUUUGAUCUAUUGAUGACCACCUGUGGCGAAGGCGGUCUACCAGAACACGUCCGACGGUGAGGGAUGAAAGCUGGGGGAGCAAACCGGAUUAGAUACCCGGGUAGUCCCAGCUGUAAACUAUGCAAACUCAGUGAUGCAUUGACUUGUGGUCAAUGCAGUGCUG
rnacentral:rRNA from 1 species